CAAAAAGGGCUCCUUCAAGCUAGCCCUAAUUCACACAAAUCAGUCAAUUUCAAGGCAAAGAUCAAACAUUUAACUUAAACCAAGCUGAAUUUAGUGAUCACCCAAGUGAAGGGAUCACAAGGCAAGGGGAUUGAAUCUUCAAGCAGACAAGUCGGAGCGGACGCGCGCUUGAAGGAGAAGCUUUAAAGGUGAACAUAGUAAGCCUCUGGAUGAAGAUCAAGCAAUGAACAAGAACCGAACACAUGUCCGAAUAAAGCUUUCGCGUUGAUCUUAUUUUGUUUUUGUUAUAAGUGAACUAUGUAAACACUUGGUACUAUAUUUUUAAUGUUUUAAAAACGUAGGAAUGUUGGCACGACAAAGUUUUUGUAAAGUCGCAUUUUAAUAU